rnacentral:lncRNA from 1 species
GCGUAGGGGUCUUUAUGAUUGUGUGCAUAGCUCACACUUUAUAUAUAUAUUUUGGAAUGGCUGGGUUCGUGGAUUCCUUGGCCCUUCUCGUAUUUUCUUGGUUCGUGUGGCUAACAUGCAUUAGGACCUUUUCAGUAGGGGAGAUGAACUCAUAUAGCCCGUGGGUGCCCUUAGGAUGGUUAGAGAUACAUAGUCCAGGU